UACAGAGGUCCCAAGCGUUGUUCGGAUUCACUGGGCGUAAAGGGUGCGUAGGCGGUCGGGUAAGUCUGAUGUGAAAUCUCACAGCUUAACUGUGAAACUGCAUUGGAUACUAUCCGGCUUGAGGAAUGGAGGGGAGACUGGAAUACUUGGUGUAGCAGUGAAAUGCGUAGAUAUCAAGUGGAACACCAGUGGCGAAGGCGAGUCUCUGGACAUUUUCCUGACGCUGAGGCACGAAAGCCAGGGGGAGCAAACGGG
rnacentral:rRNA from 1 species